AAAUUCAUUUUACUUCGACAAAGGUUGAAGUAUGUAGCAGGCGAGGGGCAGAGACAAGUGCAGCUAUCUCUUUGAUCACAUCGCUUUAAACAUUUUUCAGCUUUAAGCUUGUCUUACAAAUCAGCUCUAUCAGUCUAUUAAUUGUUUCACUGUACCUAAUAUCUUACGCGAAGGCACCUUGAAAAACAGCAGAAGAAAGCACAUUUGUUUAAGUCCUGCGGUGGCUAGCACGGCAGCUAAUCUCCUUGCAAAUUAUAAUCAUAGUUGUAGUUCAUCCAUUAGGCUGGAAAAGACAAGAUUCCCAAGUGGCCUUGGUGCCUUUUCCAGUUCCCGGGAGACCCACCAACCCCCGGCGUGUGUUGCCUGCGCACCCGGAGCGUUCUUGCUAAUCAGGUCAAUGAUUAGCGCCUGGCUCCAGGGACCUACCAGGAGGCUAUCACAGCAGUUAGGGAGCCUCCAAACGGAGCACACUCACGGAGAAUCUCCCGUUCGGAAACAUCUCUUAGUCCUCAUUUACUCACUGGGAACCUCGGAGGAUUUCAGCUGAUGUUUUUCUCUCCUUAGACAGUGAGGAGCUCAACAUAACAGGGAAAAGGAGCACAGGAUGCAGCUACUUGGAGGGUGUUGAUUGAAAACUUCGAUCUCCCCACCCCAUUCACGGUUGAUUUGACGGAUUUCUCACCUCGUUCACAGAAAAUUUCAAUUAAG
rnacentral:lncRNA from 1 species